GUGGGGAAUAUUGGGCAAUGGGGGAAACCCUGACCCAGCAACGCCGCGUGAGGGAAGAAGGUUUUCGGAUUGUAAACCUCUGUCCUUGGUGACGAAGGAAGUGACGGUAACCAAGGAGGAAGCCCCGGCUAACUACGUGCCAGCAGCCGCGGUAAUACGUAGGGGGCAAGCGUUGUCCGGAAUGACUGGGCGUAAAGGGCGUGUAGGCGGCCGAUUAAGUCUGGAGUGAAAGUCCUGCUUUCAAGGUGGGAAUUGCUUUGGAGACUGGUUGGCUUGAGUGCGGAAGAGGUAAGUGGAAUUCCCAGUGUAGCGGUGAAAUGCGUAGAGAUUGGGAGGAACACCAGUGGCGAAGGCGGCUUCCUGGCACAAUACUGACGCUCAUGUGCGAAAGCUAGGGCAGCGAACGGGAUUAGAAACCCCGGUAGUCC
rnacentral:rRNA from 1 species